UUUGGGUUGAUCCUGGCUCAGAUUGAACGCUGGCGGCACGCCUUACACAUGCAAGUCGAACGGCAGCACGGGGGCCACCCUGGUGGCGAGUGGCGAACGGGUGAGUUAUACAUCGGACACGUGUCCUGUAGUGGGGGAUAGCCCGGCGAAAGCCGGAUUUAUACCGCAUACGAUCUACGGAAGAAAGCGGGGGAUCGCAAGACCUCGCGCUAUAGGGGCGGCCGAUGGCAGAUUAGCUAGUUGGUGGGGUAAAGGCCUACCAAGGCGACGAUCUGUAGCUGGUCUGAGAGGACGACCAGCCACACUGGGACUGAGACACGGCCCAGACUCCUACGGGAGGCAGCAGUGGGGAAUUUUGGACAAUGGGGGAAACCCUGAUCCAGCAAUGCCGCGUGUGUGAAGAAGGCCUUCGGGUUGUAAAGCACUUUUGUCCGGAAAGAAAACUUCUGCCCUAAUACGGUGGGAGGAUGACGGUACCGGAAGAAUAAGCACCGGCUA
rnacentral:rRNA from 1 species